rnacentral:rRNA from 1 species
UUCGCAAUGCCCGAAAGGGUGACGAAGCGACGCCGCGUGCGGGAAGAAGGCCUUCGGGCUGUAAACCGCUGUCGGGAGUUAAGAAAUGCAAGGGUGUUAACAGCAUCCUUGCUUGACUAAGGCUCCGGAGGAAGCCACGGCUAACUCUGUGCCAGCAGCCGCGGUAAUACAGAGGCGGCAAGCGUUGUUCGGAAUUAUUGGGCGUAAAGAGCACGUAGGCGGCUGUGUAAGUCGGUUGUGAAAGCCUUCCGCUCAACGGGAGAACGGCAUCCGAUACUGCAUGGCUAGAGUGCGGGAGGGGGGAGUGGAACUUCUGGUGGAGCGGUGAAAUGCGUAGAUAUCAGAAGGAACACCGGCGGCGAAAGCGACUCUCUGGCCCGUAACUGACGCUGAGUGUGCGAAAGCUAGGGGAGCAAACGGGAUUAGAUACCCCGGUAGUCCUAGCCGUAAACGAUGGGCACUAAGUAGAGGGGUUUU